rnacentral:SRP_RNA from 1 species
GGUCAGGGGCUAUGAAUUGCGGACUGAUGAAUCCCGCCAGGGCAGGAAUGCAGCAACGGUAAUUAGAUCUUCAUUGUCGUAGUCCUCUGACACUU